GACCGAAUGGCGUAGUGGUUAGUGACCCCGACUACUGAGCCGAUGGUCCCGGGUUCGAUUCCCGGCUGGGGCA
rnacentral:tRNA from 1 species